AAAUAAUAGGAUUAAGGUUAGAUAUUUUCUUCUCUCUCCACCACGUUCCCGUCUUUUAUAGUAAUCACUCUCUUCAUGCUCUUCUUCUUCUUCUUCUUCCUCAAUUCCUUCUGUUUCUCAAUUCUCACUUUCUCAUUCUCUUCCACCACCGCGUCUCCGUCGCCGUCGCUUCGCUCCUCCAAGUAAGCGGCGGUUCUUCCUCUUUCUUCCGCCUUCCUUAUUAAUCUUCCAACCUUAUAUAUAGUAUAAUUUUGCUUAUUCAUUCAUGUGAACAGGUUCAUGGUAAGUGGAUCAACGUUAAAGUAUUUAAACGGAUCUGAAUUUUUGUUUACCUUAGGUAAGAAUAUUAUUCAUUUCUUAUGUACUUUUACAUUUUUUAAACGCUUCAUAAGAAUAAACGCUUCAUAGGAAUACAUUGUUUUGGUUCCAUUUUGCUCAAUAAAACUUAUGCAUGUAAUAACAAGGAUCUUGUUGUUUGGAGUGCAUGGUUUUAAAUUUAUUUAGCUUUGGUUGGAGUGGAAUGGAUUUUCUUUGCUUUUGAUUUUAGAAUUCAUGUUAUAAAAUUGAAGAGUUUAAAAUCUAGCCAUCAUUGUCUCUUAAAUAUGAUAAAUGGUGGAAGAUGUACUUAUAAUGCAUAGAUAUUAAAGUAAAGGUCUAUUCACAUUUAUAUUAAUAUCAUAAAUUACUUUCUAAUCAAGAAUGAUUAUAUUCGACAAGUGUUAUUCAGUAAUAAAAUAAGGAACCACAGUUGGGAGAUUUCCCGGUCAGCUACCCUGCCCAUGGAAAUUACUAUAUCUAUAUUAUGAGAAAUACAUGUGGAAAUAAGCAUAACGGCAAUGUUCUUAGAACUACAUGUCCUAAGCAUGCUUGCCAAAUCUUGCAAGAUCCGUCAAAAGUGCGGACUGAACUUUCUGCAACACAUAAAGCCCCUUUUACACUUGCAUGUUGCUAUUGGAGUUCUUGUUCGACGAGUGGAUUGAUAAAUGAAUAAGCAUAUAAAAGUACAUCAAUCGGGUAAUCCUUGGUAAGGUGACUAAUUGAAAGUAAAUUCCGAGAUAUAUGCGGAACAACUAGAACGUCAAGUUGCUUAACAUCAUAAGAUAGAGAAUAGGUGCCAAAAUUUGAAAUUGAAAGGGUAUUGCCAUUUCGUCUAUACCUUUUUAGAGAGUGGUAGAGUCCACUUGAUGAUAAGAUGAAGUCAUAUGCGUAGAAGCUCCUGUAUCCACAUACCAAUUGGAAUCACCAUUCUCGUUCAAGGAGCUCGGAGCACUGAAAGCUUCAACAAGGUUGGUCGGAGAAGGAAUCGAGUCAUACCUCUUCAAUCAUGAAGCCACUUUGUGGCCCUCAAUGCUACAUAUCCGACAUUUAAGAAUGUAAGGCCUUUUGCCUUUACCAUGGUAGCCGCCAUGUAUACCGCCAUGAUUCAGAUUUGACGACUAGAUUGAUCAACACCACAGUGGUUGUGAUUGUUGCCAUAAGAAAGAGGAUGUAGUCUUGUUGAACCAAGUAACAUAGUAUGAGCCAUUGAAUUUGAGAUAGAGGUUGAUUGGGAAAUCUCCACAGUCUCUGCACGCAACACAAGUAUCCAAAAAUAGGUAGGGAGCAUUGUGACCAUGUUGAAGAUGGCAAAGUUUGAGAAUUCAGGUCCCAAUCCUCAUAAGUAGCAAUAGACUUUAUUAUAAUUCCCACUAAAACACCCAACCACCUCAAGUUGAUCAAACUAGCGAUAGUAUUAUGAGACGGAAUGUGAACCACUUUUUAGACUCUGGAGGCUGAUUUUUAAAUGAUAUCACGGGCCAUAGAGCGAUUUGAGAAGGUCAGUUCAAGAACAAGCCAUAGUUUCCGAGUGGAAGACGAUCCUAGGGCAAUAGCCAUAGCCUCUUCAGUAAAUGUUGAUUUAAUAAAUUAGAGGAGACACUUAUUAGUUGCAAGCCAUGUAGAGUGUGACAGAUUUGACAAUGUCUCGCCAUCAGUGCCAAUAAUCAUCGAGAUGGGGGGGAGUAAGCAGAACCAUCAACAAACUAAAAAAGAUCGUGAGACUCCAAAGCAUACUAAAUUUGGGUUUUCCACAAGAGAAAUUUGGAAGAGGUUAGUUUUAGAGUAACCAUAUGGAAAAGGGCGGUAAAGGGAAAAUUAGACGAGCCUCUGAAAGAAAGGAUUUUGGCUACUAGAAGCAUAAUGAAUAGAGGGACCAAACAUUGAUGUGCUCGGGGAAGAAUGAUUUGUUUUUCAGCGGGUCACUUAUACCAUGUAGAAUCAAUUAAGUUCCACCUAAUCAGUAGGUUGUGGACUAUAUGAGAUAUAUAGCAAAUAGUUACAACUAUAUCCCAAAUUACAAGAGAUAUUCAAGGAAUGAAAUCCCUACAAUUAUGUUCAUAAUCUUAUCAACUAAUAUUGUCAUUAUCCACAAUAGUAGUGUCAUUACCUCCCCCCUAAAUCUCCAAACUCUCUACAUGUGACACACGUCUACAAAAAUAGUUAGGGAGCCUAUGACCAUGUUGGAGAGGGUAGAGUUUGUUCCGAACCACUUUUAAGAGUUAGGAGGUCGUCUUUCAAAUGCAUAUCGUGGGCAUUAGAGCGAUUUGAGAAAUUCGAUUCAAGAACAAGCCAUGGCUUCCGAGUGGAAGAUGAUCAUAUGGCAAUAGCCAUAGCCUUUUCAGUAAGUGUUGAUUUAAUAAAGGAGAGGAGACACUUAUCAGUUGCAAGCCAUGUAGAGUGUGACAUAUUUGGCAAUGUCUCGCCAUCGGUAAUCAUCGAGAGCAAGAGUAGGAGAACCAUCAACAAAUUGGAAAAGAUUGUGAGACCCCAAAGCAGACUCAAUUUGUGAUUUCGACAAGAGAAAAUUGGAAGAGUUGAGUUUGGGGAACCAUAUGGAAAAGGGUGGUAAAGGGAAAAUAGACGAGCCUUCGGAAGAAAGGAUUCUAGCAACCAAAAGAAGAAUAAUCGGAGGUGCCGAUCAUUGAUGCCCUUGGGGAAGAAUGUAUGUUUUGUUUUUUACUAGGUCACUGAUACCAUGUAGAAUCAAUUAAAUUCCACCCUAAUCAGUGGAUUUCGGACUAUAUCAAAUAUAUAAGAAAAAGUUACAAUUAUAUCUAAAAUUAUAUGAGAUAUUCAAGGAAUGAAAUCCCAACAAUUAUGCAGAUAAUCUAUGCACAUAAUUUUAACAACUAAUAUUAUCAUUAUCCAUAAUAUUAGCGUCAUUACAUCUCCCCUGAAUCUCUAGACUCUCUGCACGGGACGCAAGUCUGCAAAAGUAGGAAGGGAGCCUGGGACCAUGUUGGAGAUGGUAGAGGUUGAGAAUUUAGGUCCCAAUACUCGUUAGUAGCAAUAGACUUUAUUAAAAUUCAUAAUAAAACACCUAAUUGCUGCAAAUUGAUCGCAAAUAGAUUUAAACUGGUGAUAGUAUUCCGAUAUGGAACAUGAACCACUUUUUAGAGUCUGGAGGUCGUCUUUCAAAUGCAUAUCGCGGGCCUUAGAGCGAUUUGAGAAGGUCGAUUCAAGAACAAGCCAUAGUUUCCGAGUGGAAGAUGAUCAUGGGGCAAUAGCCAUAGCCUCUUCAGUAAGUGUUGAUUUAAUAAAGGUGAGGAGACGCUUAUUAGUUGCAAGCCAUGUAAAGAGUCAUUUGUCUUUCCCAUUUUAUUCUCUUCUAGUAGCUUCUUUUGAGGGGAAAUAUAAGCAGGGUUGGUGAAAUGGAGAAGUGUUUAGAGAGUCAUUUGUGAUUGAAAGGUGCCUCUAUGCUAAAUGGAAGUUUUUACAACACAACUAUAAGACUCAUGAUGCUUUAUGGUACCUGAGUGUUGUAAAUGUCCAAGUAGAGCCUAAGCUUUGUUGUCAAGAUGAGUAUAUUUCAUUAGUUGUGUGGAUAUACACGACAAGAUAAGAUCGGGAAUGAAUCCAUUAUAAUGUAUUGGUAGCACCUAUUGACGAAAAGUCGUAAGAGAAUCAAAUGGACUUUCUGAGAAUCAAAUGGACUUGAAAGGAAUAGGCUUUCAUUGUUGUUGUUUGUUGCAUGGUUUGUCGGCAUCAUGUAUAUAUGUUUCAGUCUACAUCUGCCAUACAAUUAAAUGAUUAUAUAAUUUGAUUUUUGCACUCGGGUUCCUCAGCCAAUAUCUUCAUAGCUAGGGUUGCAAAUAUAUGCCACUAUAUUUUAGAGCUUUAUUCCUUUCAUUUUAGAAACUGGCCACAUGAAGUUGUCCUUUUCAUGAACCUACUUCAGUUUGGCUUUGAGAACGGGCAGUCAUUUGAACAAGUUUUUUAAUGCUCAGUAAGUUGAAGCUUUUGAGCAUUAGGUAACUUGCCUCUAUAUACCUAAGUCGUUAAUUGCUUUGUCAACUUAUUGGCCAGGUUUAGGAUUUAGCAAGUCCAUUCUGAGCGUUUGAUAUGUUAGAAAUGAUUGGCUUGUUUUAUGUAUGCUAUUUUGGGUAGAAGGACCUCUUAAAGCCUAGUCUUAUAUUAUUACUGGUCAAAUCUGACUAAAGCUUGGUACUUGAAAAUACAACUCACAAGGAAUUGUCGAAUAGCUGAUUCCGGGUGGCAGUGGUGUGACAAUUAUUAGAUUUUAUCUAGUUCAGUUUCAGAGGCAUUUGUAUUCUUUCCUUUCUUUAUAAUUUAUUUUUUUAUGUCAAUGCUUUAAAAAAUUAAUCCUGCUGCUCACGUUUUAGAUUUACCCAAAUUCACCAUUAUUCUCCAAGAUCUGCCUUCAUCUAAUUGUCUCUCAACUUUAUCCUUAGAAAGUGGUCUAGUGAAAGCUUCAGUGAAUUUGGUCAGGUUUCAAAGCAAUGCCCAGCUCUCAUUUUAGUCUAGUAUAUAUAGAAUAUAAAUUAUGUUAAAAUCAGUUCCAAUGACGCAGUUCAGCUUAACCCAUUUUAUGCCUUAUUGCUUCCGCACGUCUGUAUACCGGUGGUUAAAUUGCUAGAUAGUUUCACACUAGAUCCUCCCAAAAUGUGUCAUGAUACCAGUAGUUAUUGUAUUGUUUUAGCCUUUUAGGCUUUUAGCUGUUGCUCUAGAACAUUGAUCUUCGCUAAAUAUGAAAUCUAAAAUCAUCCAAGAAUCGUUGAUAUCAUUUUGCAACCAUUUAUUGUUAAUAUCGUAGUGCUAUUAGGAAUAGUUUGUGCAUUUGCUUUUAAAUCACAUACAGCCCAACAAUUAUCAAUUUUUAAAGAUUGAUAGCAGUUGCGUCAUGUGUGAAUAUUUGUGUCAACUGUCGAACAAUUGACACUAAGAAAUUCAAAUUUUAUCUAUGAUAUCCUGUACAUGAGAUGUCAAUUAAGACAAUUGAGUACUUAUAACAGCAUAAAUUUUUGUACUUGAGGUUUGCCAUUUUAUAAUCUUCAUUUGUGUCACAGUAUGGUUCACAACAAAAUUGGGUUUUCAGUCAUAUUACCAGCUUCCUUCUAUAAUAUAUUCUUUCACAUUGCCUUCACUUAAUUGCACUGACUUGAGCUUUAUAUCCAUCCAAUAUGGAUUCAUGAUAAUCUCAGACUUUGAUAUCCCUCCAUAUUGUUCCGUUGCAUGUCUGAUGCACAUCUGCAAGAGGACCAAAUUUUUGGUUACUCUUUGCAGUCUCAUAAUCUUAUAUGCCAGUAAUUUGUAUCCAUAUUAAUGCUGUAACAUUUAUUGCCACUUCUCUUUUCAGUUCCAUUGAUAUGAUUAUAUUUAACUUCGGAUGUGAUUUGGAUAACCUUUUAGAAGGUUUCUCUUCUUAGUGGCACUUCACUAAGAUGAUAGUGAGUUCAAGGAUCUAUUCCCACUGGAUGAUUAAUAUUAAAAGGAUGCCUAAGUACUUAGCAUAUAUAAGUCUGAAAAAUUUUACAUGGAAACUUAGACAUCACAUGCUUGUAGAAUGUUGUAACUUUGCUACACUAUGGAAAGUGGAAUUAUGUGCUGCCAGGCAUAAGUUCUUAUUUUAAUUUAUUUUUUAUUUAUAUAUUUUAUUUGAAGUAUUGCAGUUUGUAUGAGUUUUCUGAAUAUAGUUUCAUUUCCUUUAAUUCUUGCAACUAUUAGUGGUGCUGAUGUCAGUCGCUAUACAGCUAAAUUUGCUCUGCCAAAUAUAAUGGGAAUUUCUUGAAUCACUCAAUGACAGUAGGCAAUUAUUGCUUCUUCUUUAUUAGCAGAAAUGAUAGCGCUUCAAUUUGACUAAUGGCUGUGUUUUCCAGUUAAGUAUACAUCAAUAUUUUUUAUUGUUUAACUUGCACUGCAUAAACUACAGAAGACCGGACAACUUUUCCUCGUCUGUUUGUAUAGUCAGUUAUGCGUUUUUAUAACUGAAAACUUAGUUCAAGUACUAAAAUACUCUAAUCAUGUAAAUAGGUUUUUGGUAUGGGUUUGAUGGAGUUUUUCCUAUUUUCUGACAGGUAACCUUCUAUUUCUGCUGCACGUUUGUAUGACAAGGGCUAAGCAGGCUUGUGUUUCUGCAUCUCCCGCUUUGAAUAUAUAUUGGGUUUGACUGGUGCUAGAUUAUUAUGAUUCAUGAUAUCAUUUUCCUAUUUAUUGAUAUGAAUACUGCUAUACUGUUUGAAGAAUCAUAAGUCAUGGUUAUAACCUGAGAGAAAUAUAAGUCCUAGACAAUUUCUCUUAUGUUUGUGACUUACUAGAGGCAUAUGCAUAGGUAGCUAUAUUCUUAAUUUCCACUCAGUUGAUAAUGACAGAUGUAGAAAUUAUAUAAAAAAACACAACCAUGAUUUUGACAUUUUAUUGAUAUAAUUUAC
rnacentral:lncRNA from 1 species